GGUGAACGCUGGCGGCGUGCCUAAUACAUGCAAGUCGAGCGAACAGAUGAGGAGCUUGCUCCUCUGACGUUAGCGGCGGACGGGUGAGUAACACGUGGAUAACCUACCUAUAAGACUGGGAUAACUUCGGGAAACCGGAGCUAAUACCAGAUAAUAUAUUGAACCGCAUGGUUCAAUAGUGAAAGACGGUUUUGCUGUCACUUAUAGAUGGAUCCGCGCCGCAUUAGCUAGUUGGUAAGGUAACGGCUUACCAAGGCAACGAUGCGUAGCCGACCUGAGAGGGUGAUCGGCCACACUGGAACUGAGACACGGUCCAGACUCCUACGGGAGGCAGCAGUAGGGAAUCUUCCGCAAUGGGCGAAAGCCUGACGGAGCAACGCCGCGUGAGUGAUGAAGGUCUUCGGAUCGUAAAACUCUGUUAUUAGGGAAGAACAAAUGUGUAAGUAACUAUGCACGUCUUGACGGUACCUAAUCAGAAAGCCACGGCUAACUACGUG
rnacentral:rRNA from 1 species